GCUUGGCCCUAAAUCUAGAUGUUUCUUCCACCAAAACAUCCGCCCGAGAACUACGAGCGCAAACGCUUAAAACUCUAAGGACUUGGCGGUGCCCUAAACCCACCUAGAGGAGCCUGUUCUGUAAUCGAUAAUCCACGUUACACCCGACCUCUCCUUGCUAAAACAGCCUACAUACCGCCGUCGUCAGCCCACCUUUACUGAAAGAACAAUAGUGGGCUUAACAGCCCCACCCGCUAGCAAGACAGGUCGAGGUAUAGCCCAUGGAGAGGAAGUAAUGGGCUACAUUUUCUAAAAUAGAAUACUUUACGGAAAGGGGCUGUGAAACCACCCCUGGAAGGCGGAUUUAGCUGUAAAGUGGAACAAUGUAAGUCCACUUUUAAGUUGGCCCUGGGGCACGUACAUACCGCCCG
rnacentral:rRNA from 1 species